GAUGAACGCUGGCGGCGUGCUUAACACAUGCAAGUCGAACGGAAAGGCCACAGUUUGCUGUGGUUCUCGAGUGGCGAACGGGUGAGUAACACGUGGGUGAUCCGCCCUGUACUUCGGGAUAAGCUUGGGAAACUGGGUCUUAUACCGGAUAGGAAUCACGUGUGGGUGUUUGGUUGGAAAGCUGUUGCGGUAUGGGAUGAGCUCGCGGCCUAUCAGCUUGUUGGUGGGGUAAUGGCCUACCAAGGCGUCGACGGGUAGCCGGCCUGAGAGGGUGGACGGCCUUAUUGGGACGAAACGACGGCCCAGACUCCUGCGGGAAGCAGCGGUGGGGAAUAUUGCACGAUGGGCGGAAGGAUGAUGCAGCGACGCGGGGUGGGGGACGACGGCCUUCGGGUUGUAAACUCCUUGCCUCGGCGACGAAGCGAAAGUGACGGUAGCUGGAGAAGAAGCACCGGCUAACUACGUG
rnacentral:rRNA from 1 species